GUCAAAACGACUCUCGGCAACGGAUAUCUCGGCUCUCGCAUCGAUGAAGAACGUAGCGAAAUGCGAUACUUGGUGUGAAUUGCAGAAUCCCGUGAACCAUCGAGUCUUUGAACGCAAGUUGCGCUCGAAGCCUUUAGGCCGAGGGCACGUCUGCCUGGGCGUCA
rnacentral:rRNA from 1 species